UAAUAGAAAUUAAGUCUAUUGUACUUUAAGCAAUUUCAGCAUCUAUUAUGUAUUGUAUAAUGUGUAAGAGGAAAAAGAUAUACAAGAGGAAAUAGUGUGACCUCUCCAGUGAGUAAAGCAUACUGUUCGUGUUAGAAGUGUGGGGGUGUGGUUGCUCAUUUAUAUAGAAACGUAUGUAUAGUCGAACUCGAUAAACAAUGGAAACUUUCACAAUAAAAUAUUUGCAUCUCGAAGAAAAAAUAUUACAAAGCCUGAAAAAUAAUGGCAUAGAAUGUCGGGCAAAAGCUAACAGUGGAUUAUGGCUUGGAACCUUAGUAGGUUUAAGCGCACUUUUAACUAUAUUAAAGGAAGAUAAUAGCUAUUCCGAAAUUUGCCUCAUUGUAGGCCUCACAGGAAUUGGUCUUGUUAUUAGUUCUAUAUGUUUAUACAUAAAAUUAUCAACAAAAAUGGUUACAGUUAGAGAUUUUCAAGCCAUAUAUUUUUUACCAGCUAUAGUAACAUCAAUGUUAUAUCUUCUAAUAGCAAAUAAAGGAUUACUGGUGAGCGUGAUAUGGGGCUUAGGUGUAGGAAGCUUAGGUACAUGGGGAGUUCUUCAAUUGAUGUCCAUGUUUCCUCGUUGUUUCACAAUUGGAGAAGCAACAGCAACUAUGCAUGGUUGUAUCUUAUUUCUAAUGUCUGCUGUAACAAACUUGCCAUUAAGAUACCAUCUACCUCCUAUUCAUGAUGAUGAUAUUGUUACAGUUAUAUUACAGGUUGCAAUGUUAUAUGCCAUGGCAAUUUGUUUAAUAUCUAGUUGCCUUCCAAUGUUUCAAUCAACUAUAAAGUUUUACAUAAUGACAAUCACUCUUUUAUUGAUUAUAGUUUUACCAGUAAUGCAUAUUAUAUUGGAUCAAAAUCCUAUAGUUUGGAUGUUUUAUUUUAUUUUUAAUAAAACAAGCAAGAUUAUUUUAAUUGGAUAUUGGGCUGUAUGUUUAUUGCUAGGUGUGGCUGUUGUUGCAUAUCAGAUAUUGUUGAACAAUCAAGCAACAACUACAAUCAGAAAAAUGUUUCACUUAUUAGCAGUACUUGUAUAUGUACCUGGUUUAAUUUAUGAACAUAUAUUACUGUAUUUUGCUAGUGGAGUUGUUAUGGGAUUAUUUCUACUUCUUGAGUUACUGAGAUACUUAAGAAUACCACCACUUGGAAAAAUAUUACAGCAAGGAUUCUCUGUGUUUGCUGAUGAGAAAGAUCAUUUGAUUUCUUUGACACCUUUAUACUUAUUCUGUGGUUUAUCUUUCCCACUUUGGAUGCCUACCAGUAAUCUCCCUUUGUUAGUUUUGCUCAGUGGCAUACUGUCAGUUGGAAUAGGUGAUACUGCUGCCAGUUUCAUUGGUUACAAAUGGGGUACUCACAAGUGGAGGAAUUCAGACAAGUCUAUUGAAGGCACAAUUGCUUGUAUUCUUAGUCAGGUUGGAUUCAUAUGUUUAUUAGCGUUUAUGGGCUACAUAGAUAGUGGUUGGUUACUUUUGAGAAGCGUGUGGUCAAGCGUCGUUUUGUCAUUAAUUGAAGCACAAACAAAUCAAGUUGACAAUUUAGCAUUACCUUUACUAAUGUACGUGUGCCUGAUGGUUUAGGUGUGUAAGGCAGAGGAUCAUCUUGUGAGAGAUCUGAAAUAUCGACGUCGUCCAAAACCUAAUUUUUUGAAGCUGAUUUAUGGCGCACUCUAUGAUGAUUUCAAGUACUAUGCUGAGCUAAAUGAUCAUUCACCAGGAUACAUACUGCCAAUGGCUGGCGAGAACAGAGCGGUGGCAUUUCGUAAAUUUCACUCGUUUAACCGUAUCAGGCAGGCGUCGGCGGAGACACGGAGGGCCGAGGUGACGGAGGUGGUGGACGCGUCUUCGCGACGUUGACGCGAUAAAGCGCGCCUCAAAGGAGGGCCGGGGAACCUGGUGGGACCCUGGAUUGACGUCAUUCGAUGACGUCAAGCAGGACCGUGCCGAAAGCGAGCAGGAACCACGUUCAAAACCAUGCCGAACAUCCUUCCUACGUGACCUACUCCACCUACCCCGACCACGACGCAAGAAAAGGAUCUAUUUAUGCAUCCCCCCUGAACAUUCUUAUAUCGAGUAUAGAAAUAGCUUUCAGUCUUAGGACAGGGAAAAAAGUGGCAAUAAUUACAAAAGAAUGGAAAGCGUGAUCGUAACAGGCUGGUGAAGAGAAAAAAGAUGGAACGUGUCAAAACGAAGGGAAAGUCUUCUUGUGAAACAUUUAUUUACCGUAAAUUAGAAAUCUUUGAAUUGCAAUUGAAUCAGUGGUAAAGAUUAAAGGGACAAAUGAGUUUCAACAUUCAUCAUUAAUGAAUGAUAAUCGAAUGAAACUAUAUAUGUCAGCUUUAAGUUUCCUUCACCAUACGUCACGAGAAAGACCAAUCUCUGUAAUCCUAUUAUAUCCUGAUCCUAUUACUAGAUGUUGUAAUAAUCCUAAUGAUUCGCCUGGUAGACUCGGACUUUCCAUCGGAUCUAUUACGUACAUAUUUCCUUCUACCUUACUAUCUUAAGUACAUCGUUUCAUAUUUGCGAUUCACCGUUGUGUACGAUUUUUGAUAACGAUAUCACUGAUUUUUCACCUCUACCUCUGCUAUUGCAGACAAGUAAACAUCAUUUCGCGAAGGAAUCGUGAAAAAAAAGUAGGUCAUGGAUGAAUGACAAUAGCAGUGCUAUAGAAAUAAAGAAUAAAACUUUCGAGUAGAUGAAACGAUGUCGAUGAAAAAGAUUUGAGGUUUGCAUUUUUCUUUUUUUUUUUUUU